AUGCCCAGCUUGCUGGGUGGAUUAGUGGCGAACGGGUGAGUAACACGUGAGUAACCUGCCCCUGACUCUGGGAUAAGCGUUGGAAACGACGUCUAAUACUGGAUAUGAYYACYGGCCGCAUGGUCUGGUGGUGGAAAGAUUUUUUGGUUGGGGAUGGACUCGCGGCCUAUCAGCUUGUUGGUGAGGUAAUGGCUCACCAAGGCGACGACGGGUAGCCGGCCUGAGAGGGUGACCGGCCACACUGGGACUGAGACACGGCCCAGACUCCUACGGGAGGCAGCAGUGGGGAAUAUUGCACAAUGGGCGAAAGCCUGAUGCAGCAACGCCGCGUGAGGGAUGACGGCCUUCGGGUUGUAAACCUCUUUUAGUAGGGAAGAAGCGAANGUGANNG
rnacentral:rRNA from 1 species